rnacentral:rRNA from 1 species
AUGAACGCUGGCGGCGUGCCUAAUACAUGCAAGUCGAGCGAACAGACGAGGAGCUUGCUCCUCUAACGUUAGCGGCGGACGGGUGAGUAACACGUGGAUAACCUACCUAUAAGACUGGGAUAACUUCGGGAAACCGGAGCUAAUACCGGAUAAUAUAUUGAACCGCAUGGUUCAAUAGUGAAAGACGGUUUUGCUGUCACUUAUAGAUGGAUCCGCGCCGCAUUAGCUAGUUGGUAAGUACCAGCUUACCAAG